rnacentral:rRNA from 1 species
AACGAACGCUGGCGGCAGGCUUAACACAUGCAAGUCGAGCGCCCCCGCAAGGGGAGCGGCAGACGGGUGAGUAACGCGUGGGAACGUGCCCUUUGGUUCGGAACAACUCCGGGAAACUGGAGCUAAUACCGGAUAAGCCCUUCGGGGGAAAGAUUUAUCGCCAAAGGAUCGGCCCGCGUCUGAUUAGCUAGUUGGUGAGGUAAUGGCUCACCAAGGCGACGAUCAGUAGCUGGUCUGAGAGGAUGAUCAGCCACACUGGGACUGAGACACGGCCCAGACUCCUACGGGAGGCAGCAGUGGGGGAAUAUUGGACAAUGGGCGCAAGCCUGAUCCAGCCAUGCCGCGUGAGUGAUGAAGGCCUUAGGGUUGUAAAG